GACGAACGCUGGCGGCGUGCUUAACACAUGCAAGUCGAACGGAAAGGCCCUGCUUUUGUGGGGUGCUCGAGUGGCGAACGGGUGAGUAACACGUGAGUAACCUGCCCUUGACUUUGGGAUAACUUCAGGAAACUGGGGCUAAUACCGGAUAGGAGCUCCUGCUGCAUGGUGGGGGUUGGAAAGUUUCGGCGGUUGGGGAUGGACUCGCGGCUUAUCAGCUUGUUGGUGGGGUAGUGGCUUACCAAGGCUUUGACGGGUAGCCGGCCUGAGAGGGUGACCGGCGACAUUGGGAAUGAGAUACGGCGCGGAGGCCUACGGGAGGCAGCAGUGGGGAGUAUUGCACAAUGGGCGGGAGCCUGAUGCAGCAACGCCGCGUGAGGGAUGACGGGCUUCGGUUUGUAAACAGCUUUCGCCGGUGACGAAGCGUGAGGGACGGUAAUGGGUAAAGAAGCACCGGCUAACUACGUG
rnacentral:rRNA from 1 species